AACGAACGCUGGCGGCAGGCCUAACACAUGCAAGUCGAGCGAGGACUUCGGUCCUAGCGGCGGACGGGUGAGUAACGCGUGGGAACGUGCCCUUUGCUUCGGAAUAGCCCUGGGAAACUGGGAGUAAUACCGGAUGAGCCCUUUGGGGGAAAGAUUUAUCGGCGAAGGAUCGGCCCGCGUUGGAUUAGGUAGUUGGUGGGGUAAUGGCCUACCAAGCCGACGAUCCAUAGCUGGUUUGAGAGGAUGAUCAGCUACACUGGGACUGAGACACGGCCCAGACUCCUACGGGAGGCAGCAGUGGGGAAUCUUAGACAAUGGGGGAAACCCUGAUCGAGCCAUGCCGCGUGAGCGAUGAAGGCCUUAGGGUUGUAAAGCUCUUUCAGCUGGGAAGAUAAUGACGGUACCAGCAGAAGAAGCCCCGGCUAACUCCGUG
rnacentral:rRNA from 1 species